UUAAAAGCCGAGUACUCUACCGUUGAGUUAGCAACCC
rnacentral:tRNA from 3 species